rnacentral:sRNA from 1 species
UCGCCGGCUUGUCCAUCGCGACGAGAAGCUAUUCAGUAGUAAAGUCAAUGACAGCUUUGGCUGCGUUUGCAUUUUUGGUUUGAUCGAUUGUUGGGUGUAUGGCAGCACGGAUAAACUUACCAACAUGUACAGUAAAUAGUUUGCUCACAUGUUAGUUUUUUUUAUUAUUAUUAUUUCAUGAAACAAGUAUUUACGAUGAACAUAGUAUCGCAUAGGUAGGGGGGCGAGGAAGCUACAGUUCUUUUUCUUUAGUAUUUUUUGUAAUAUAAAAGUUGGGGCUACGACUUUUAGAGAUCGAGGGCAACUUGCACUCUCUACAAAAAAAAAUUAUGGUGCCCAUGUAUGUCCAUGUGUGUUUGUGUGAAAAGAAAAAAAAAUCAAACAUUCAACCCCGCUACGAAAAACAAUCCUGGCCACGCCCAUUCUUGACACUUAUAUUUUACUGGGGCUUUUCUUUUCGGAGAUGACGCCGACAAUAAUGUUAUGCCUACCUUUCUAAUUGUCCAUGUGUCCUAAGAUCACUUUGAAAAUUUAUCUUGUUGAAUUAUUAGGAUUAAUGUUGCGAAGUUUUAUGAAAAAAAAAGUGACAUAAAUAUUUUUUUCUUUUUUUUAGACAUCCAAUAAAGAAAAAAGAGAAAUAUUUACUUUUUAAAAGGAUAAUUCUUAGUGUUUUUAAUAUCAUAGUCGAUAUAGGACUUCUUGGUGUUAACUAAGGUACACUCAUGACUACACUACUGUGUACUAAGGAAUGCUAAAAAUGUGACACAUGAGACCCUAAACAAGGAAACGGAAUGGGAAAUUCCGAUUUUAUUUUUCACGUUUUCGAAAGUUCAAAAAUAUUAUUUUAGUGUCUUUAGUAAAAUAUUAAUUUUAAAACUCUUAAUAAGUUAGAGAAUCAAACUUUAUUUAACAUAAACUUUUAAAGUAUAACUUAACUACUCAAAGUGUAUCUAUAAAAUGAGACCUUACUUAGAGUUGGUAGAGAUUGGACUAAAACUACACAAUUUAGAGGAAAUCAAAGAAUUUCUCAACAAUAUUUUAGAAGAUGUUGAUUUGGUCAAGAAAAAAGGUGAAUUGUGGAUUGAGGAAAAAGUAACAUCAACUUUCAUGGAAAUGAAACAAUUCAUUACAGAGAAAACUUCCGAAAUUUUAAAACGUUGCACAUCUGUAACAAAACUUCAAGCUGCAAGUAGUUUUAUAUCACAACAACAAACUCAAUGCGAGACUUUUUGUCUAGAACUGAAGGAGAAACAAGAAAUAGACAAAGAACACAAAGAACUUGAUGUCAGUACCAAGUUUGAAGAAAUAUAUAAAAAAACAAAAAGAGUUGAGCAAAAAGCUUGAAAACAUUCUCGAAAUACAAGAGUCUCAAGCAAAAGACUUUGAAGAUCGAAACAACUCUGCUAAAGAAAUUGUUAAAAUAAAAGAUGAUCAAAGAAAACUAUUUUGCAAAAUAAGAAAUGUUCAAAUGGAAAUUACAAGAGGUAGAGAAAAAGACUUUUUAUGUGAAAAAACUGGUCAAUCUGAUGUCAAGUGCAUUAAAAACUGUCUUCAUAUCAUAGG